rnacentral:rRNA from 1 species
CCCUUAGAUGUUCUGGGCUGCACGCGCGCUACACUGAAGCGGUCAACGAGUAUUCACCUUGCCCGGGAGGGUUGGGUAAUCUUUUGAAAACGCUUCGUGAUGGGGAUAGAUUAUUGCAAUUAUUAAUCUUCAACGAGGAAUUCCUAGUAAGCGCGAGUCAUCAGCUCGUGCUGAAUACGUCCCUGCCCUUUGUACACACCGCCCGUCGCUCCUACCGAUUGAGUGGUCCGGUGAGGCUUUGGGAUCUGAGCGGAAAGAGCGUUUCGCUGUUUCUGCUCGGAAAACUCAGUCGAACCUUAUCAUUUAGAGGAAGGAGAAGUCGUAACA